UACGUAGGAGGCAAGCGUUGUUCGGAAUUACUGGGCGUAAAGCGCGCGUAGGCGGCUUUGUAAGUUAGAGGUGAAAGCCUGGAGCUCAACUUCAGAAUUGCCUUUAAGACUGCAUCGCUUGAAUCCGGGAGAGGUGAGUGGAAUUCCGAGUGUAGAGGUGAAAUUCGUAGAUAUUCGGAAGAACACCAGUGGCGAAGGCGGCUCACUGGACCGGCAUUGACGCUGAGGUGCGAAAGCGUGGGGAGCAAACAGG
rnacentral:rRNA from 1 species